UAUUGCACACUCGAAAGCUUUACUCCAGAUUCUACGUGAUCCGUACCUCUUCGUGUUACCGCGCCCCGCCUCUCCCCUUCCCCCUCCUCCUCUCUCGGUUACUGUUUGCUCUUCUCAGCUCGCAGACCUGCACACUACCAUUAAACAGUGCAUCCCAAUAUACACGGUUUCGCUGUCGUCGUCUUCAUCUGUUUACUUCGGCUGCGCUCUCGUCCUGUGACGACAGCUUUAACUCUCGUCACAGCACCCAGUUCGCUAUUCAACGGUACAGCAUUGAACCUUGCUUUCGCACUGUGAUGCGCAACUUGUCGGACCAUUUUCCUGUGGAGGACUCGCCGAUGAACGCACGGCCCCAGAUGGCGAACGGCGAUGACCACCCGCAGAUGGAGUCGCCGAUGAAUCACGAUGACACACACACCUACGGGGACAAUACGUUGGGCGGGCACCCAACCAAUGAAGAGAAUGCGUCGAUGACGAAGACCCCGACCGCGGCUGCUAAUGGGGCUUGCGCGGACUCCAUCCAUUCCGAGUAUGUGGCGGCGAAGGAGCGGCUGGAGGCGGCACAGGCGGCACACAAGCAGCGCUUGCGCGAGAUCAAGGACGACAAGUCGCUAAAGAUAAAAUCCAUACCGUCUCUGGAGGAGCUGCGCGACGAGCGCGUGCGUCUCUCGGAACAGGUGCUCCAUCACAAGGACGAGCAGGACUCCCUUGCCCUCGACAUCGAAGGGUUGGAGGGCGCCGCGGAGGUCUACCAACUGGCGGCCCGCGUGCAGCGCCUGGAGCACUUCGCCAAGCGUGCAUAUGAGUACGCCGAGGAGACUCUGCCGAAAGAGAUCGAGAGGACGCUGGAGGAGGACCGUCAGCUGUCCAACCGGGAGCUGUGCGCCUACAUCCAGGAGCUCCAGAGCAAGCGCGCGAACACGCUCAAGAGGGUCGUCGCCUCGCAGGAGGGCAUGGUCAAGCGGAAUCGGCGUCAAAGCGCUACUGCCACGACUGCCGCCCCGGGCGAGGACGUGGACCCGAUGGAGGCCAAGGCGGUGGCGCACACGCAGGAGAACAAGGACGAGUGCGUCGUGCUGCAUCAGAAGAUCCGCAGGUUCUGCGCGAUGAGGACGAAGCUGCAGAGCGACAUCCUGAAGGAGAAGAGCGCGGGCAAAAAGAUGGAGGAGAGGAUGCGCGCCUCCAUCCGCACCGCGGAACUGGCCAACGCCCGCGAUGCCCGCAUGUGUGGGGAGCUAAACAACCGCAACGCCGCCGCCACAACGAACUCGCAGCUGCUUAUGGACCAACUCAACGUCGGCCACUACGGCUUCGGCAACGCGCCGUCGACGAAGCAGCUGCUGGAGGACCGCAGGGAGCGCGAGGCCUUGCUGGAAACCACGGAGACAGAUCGGCAGCAGUACGGGCGCUUUGUAUCGAACGGCUCCUUAGGCUCCCGCCAGUCGUACGCGAACUCGCUGAGCUCUCACCAGCGCGCCAUCAAGCCACCGCUGGUGGCCUCGAAGCCGACGGCGUCGCAGCGCGCCCGCGACGACGCCUCGCGCUCCUCACGCGAGGACUUCGCGCAGAUGCUGCGCCGCAACAGCGAUGGUAACAGCUACCAAGCAUCUCGCUCCCAGUCAUUGUCGAAGCCACCGCUGGUGGCCUCGAAGCCGACGGCGUCGCAGCAGAGUCGCGAAAGCGCCCUUCGCGGAGAACGCGAGGAGGUUUCGGCGUCCCGCACUCUCGCGCGGAGCAACUCCCUCUUCUCCGAUGUGCGGCCGUCAUCCCUCGCGGCCAAGUCCACCGCUUCGCAGCGUAGCCGUGAUGGGCAGUAGAAGGAAGACGAAGAGGGAGGUGCGUGAAGGUGAGUGCAGCUACUAGCAAGAGAUGUGACCUACAAGACGGUGGUUGUCGCCGUUUACAAGUAAGGAAGGCGAGAUGCCCACCAAUGCUGGUAGCGGCACUGCGAACGAAGGAUGCAGAAGGAGUCGAGUGACCCCGUAGGAAUCGUCACCCCGUCUGUGUCGCUCGGUCUCUCCUUUUCCUUGUGCCCCGUGUACAUGUGCAUGCGCAUGUGUGUGCGCGUAUGUCGCGCUACGCCUAUCGUCUCGCGCACCUCCAAGCGUUGCUGUUGAGCCCGCCUCCUUUCUUUUUUUUUUUGUUUUCGUUUCUCAAUUACGCUGUACCGUGAAUGGAAUGGAGGCCCUAGUCAAGGGAGAAGGAGUGGUGAGGGAGGAGGGAGAGGGCGUGUUGAGCUGAUGGCUUUGACCUACCCCCCUGCUCACUACGAUGUGCUGCUGCACUGGUGGUCUCCUCUUCCUGCGGAGAGAAGGAUCGCAUUGGCGGCUAUCAGCGACAAGGUGCACCCCCUACCCUGUAGGUAGAUGCGCUCUCUCCCUCCCUCUCAUAUGCACACGCCACGUGGUUUGUCCGCCUCCUUCCAUUCGUUCUCCGUUUCUUUUUUUUUCUGUUUCUUUUUUUUUGUUUUCCCGUCUCUCUGUCUCUGAUUGACUGUACCGGUGUUUGUACUCUUUUGUCUCCAACUCCUUUUUCGUGCACCCGCUCGUGCUCGACAACUUUCCGAG
rnacentral:misc_RNA from 1 species